ACCCGUUUCUUGAAAAUUCUGUCAAUGUUACAGUACAUUGAAUGCCUGUGUCAAUGUGGUUUCUGUGGCUAUAACUGCUCUUUUCUUCUUAGGUACAGGAAACAAGUCAAUCAUUUUCACAUGUGUUGGAACCAUAUUCAACAAAGAAACGACACAAUUAGAUCACCAAUGUUCCGCGCUUUUCUAUUGCUGUUACUGGCAGGUCCUGCACACACUAGUGUGAAGGUAAACCAGUGGACGUCUGAAACUCGCUACACAUUGGGAGACACAGCCAUUUUGCAUUGCAACAUAACCUCCGAUCAGGAGGUGAUAGAGAACUGUGAAAUGCAUUGGGUAAUCAUGGAUAUCAACAACAAAAACCGAACAAUAGAUGUCCUGAAGACAGAGUUGUAUAAGCAACGUGUAAACAUUGAGUCAAUUGAAAGCACCACUUCCAUGACAUUAAGAAACCUGACCUUACAUGACAGAGAUAUGCCAAACUGUACAGCAGAGUGCUACUUUGAUGGACAAUAUAAAAGAUAUUUUGGGAUGGGUUCUGUUCAGAUUUUCGAAGAGAUGGAAGUAAAGGAAGUCACCCAGGACAAGACAACUGUGGCUCCAAGUGAACUUUAAGAGGAGCCAUUUUACCCCUGGAUCAAAUAUCUACUGUUCUCUAGUAAUCUUCUAAUCUUUCUUGUAGCAACAGCUAUUUAUGUGUUUUACAUGCGAAAACAAAUGCAAAGGAAUUAAAGAACGAAUUGGCCGUGUUACUGCUGUAUGCAUCUCUCGUCCAGCACCAGAUCAAAUGCCACCUUUAUGAGAAUGUAUCAAAUUGAUAUAACAUGGCUUUGGCUAGUGUAAGUGUCCAGUGCUGGUGAUCGCGUGCCCGUUGGAGCCGCUUCUUCUUGUUUUCAGCGGAUAGGAGUGGAACCCAGUGUGGUCGCCUGCUGACAAGGACCGAUGAGUUGUGCAUUCCGAUACGCCAUUCUCUGUAAACCAUAACACAUGGAUGGGCAACUUUGAUUCUUGUGGGGGCCACAAAAGAUCUAAACUGAUCACGAGGGGCUGCCGUUGCUCUCAGGUCUCAUACCCACAUCCAUAGCUGUUUUACAGCGAAUUUCCUGCUAUUCUACACAUUUUGCCAUAGGGUGUAGAGAAAUGUUGGCCGUUUUAAUAUGAUAUCUUAGUGAGACUGACAAACAAAAAAAACUAUGGGGGACAUCUCGGCCGAUAAUUCGACCAUGAUUACAAGUUUAGAUAGCUGUCCGAUAAACUAAUUUGGCAAUCUAAAAAAUGUUAGCUGACAUGGGAUAAUUGACUGACUAUCUGUGUCUGACAUAAACAAGAGAAACCUUUCUGAAACACAACCACAUUUCGAAAUUGCACCCUGUGUAUUCUACUAUUCUAACCCAUAACAGUAAAUGUAGACCCCGUCUGAGUUCCUAAUUGAUUCGAGUUCCUUUAAAAGGAGACGCGGGACGCAAGUUGCCCAAUUUUACCCUAGACAAUGUCGUGCGUGAAAAGUCUCCGAGGCCGACCGUUUCAAAUAAACUGGCCACUGAGUGUAUAUGAUAUGAAUAGUGAUAAGACGAGCUAAUGAAAUAGGCUGCCAAUGCAACGUUAGCCUAGUCUACUACAGGCUGCACAGUUUUUGUAGUUCACGUGUCGCCUUGCAAAACCGGUCACAUACAAUAUUGUGGCUUCAAGGUAAUCAAAAUCGAAAGCAAAAUGUUUCUUUCGUUUUUAUUUUAUUUUCAACUUUACAUUGUUCAUUAUAUAGCUACCGUAGGCUACUAUGCUAUUGAUUAAUACACAAUUUAUCAUACUUAAAUUGACUGUUCACUUAAAAUCCCAGACUAUAUUCAAAUGAAAGCUUUAACAGCCUCUGCUGUUUUUCGAAUCCCAGACUGUAGCUUUAACAUGAAAUUAUCAAUAUUACAGAAGGACAUGGGAUCUUUUUUUAUUUGUAUUAUUAGCUGGUUAUAUUAGGCUUACUACAGUAUGCCACAAAACCUAUAUAUAUAGGCUACUAUCCUGGCCUAGGCUAUGCUACUGUAAGGCUGACGCUUCACAUUUCUGCCUCGAAAAAACUGUCAAAUAUAAUGUGGAAUUGUGGAUCAAAAUCGAAAGUGAAAUGUUAUUCUUGUUUUUACUUUAUCUUUUCAACUUUACAAUGUUCAUUAUAUAGCUACUGUAGGCCUACUGUGCUAUUGAUUAAUAAACUAUCAUAAUCAA